AGUGCUUUUCAUGUCUUCAAUUAUCCAAGUACCCCAAGCCUGUGGUUUGCCUCAGUUUGGGUGGGCAUAGCCAAGGGGGUUCCAGGGCCGUCCAGCCUUCACUCAAGGAUGACUUUCCCUAGGCUGAGGGCAGUGGACCCUUGACAAAAUUUAAUUACCGUCUCUGCUUAUGGCUGGACCUCAGCUGGCAGGGUCUCGGGGGCUUUAAACAAAAGCAGGAGCCUCUCCAGAAGUAGAUUAGGGAGAUUUGCAUUCAGGCCAGGGAUUUGUACAUGGUGUUAAUUCUCCUCCAGGCAGAUAUCUGCUUGGGAAAGGGCUGUGUGACCCUAUUUAGAAAAAUGGCUACACUUUGUUAACCUUUUUUCCCUUAAGAAGGAAAAAUCAUUAAUGGCAGAAGUUCAGGCCCCAGAGGGGAUUUUCUGGGUGAUUCUUUGUUUCAAGAGUCAUGUUUCCCCAGAUGUGAUUAAAUUGUCCGUAACUUUUAACUCUUCCCUCCCCCGUGCUUUAGUUGAAAAAUAAAAUCUCUGUUCAUAUUUCUUGCAUAUCAUAGGCUUAUGUCUCUUUCCAGCUCUAUAAGUCAAGGCUAAAGAUUUUUUUUUUAAGAAAGAGGAAAAAAAAGACAUUUAUUUGAGAAGACAUUUUUGUGUGUGCCCUGCUCCCACCAUGCAUUCAUUCGGUGCUGGAAAGUGGUUAGGGGAUUCUAAGCAGCCCCCUUGCUAUAGCUGGACUGUGACGCUGUCCCUUACUGUCAGUCUGCUUGGCUCCUCCAGACCUGAUGCAGAUGCUGCCCGCUCCCCACACAGCCCUCCUUUUUCUCUGUUCCCGGAACACUGUUUGCUUCUGUUACUGAGAAGGCAAUACUGGGUAAAGGAGAAUGAUGCACGAUGUGGAGCUGGAAGACCCAGGCCCAAAGGCAGCUUUUACCACCUCCUAGCUGUGCUACCCUGGGCCCCUGAGCCUAGAGUUCCUUCACUGCACUUGCAAUUGCACUGUGCAAUGCCUUCUCAGUCUCCUGGCUAGAAAAUGGAACUCCUGGAGGACAGGAUGUUUUUCAUCCUAUUAUUUCCAGUCAUUUAUCUAGUCAUUCAUUUCUUUAUAUAAUGACCCUCCUAGGACCUAAGAAUAGAGAGAUGAACGCGAUACAUGUGGUAGGAAUUGUAAGUUGCUGCUUCUUUUUGUUUUUGUUUUGAGUGAUCCACUGAUGGUUGAGAAAGCCUAGGAUCUUUCUCCCCAGAGAGAAUGCCACUAGAGAGGGGGCAGAACAUGACCCUGCCUGUUGACCCCAACUGUGACACUUCUGAAACCAAUCUUAGGAAAGCCUCUCAUGGGAAUGGCAUUUCCAAGAUUAGGGGUAAAGUGGGACCUCCCUGUUGAAAAGUUGUCCUGCCCUCUGUCAGCUAGACAUGCCAUAAGCAAGGGAAAGAAUGACUUUUAAUGACAGGGGUAGAAAUUGGGAGCAAGAGGCUGAACACAUGGAACAGAAUUUUUUGAAGUGCCUUGUUAAAUGGAAAGUAG
rnacentral:lncRNA from 10 species